rnacentral:rRNA from 1 species
AAUCAUGGCUCAGGAUGAACGCUAGCGACAGGCUUAACACAUGCAAGUCGAGGGGCAGCACAGGUAGCAAUACCGGGUGGCGACCGGCGCACGGGUGAGUAACGCGUAUGCAACUUGCCUAUCAGAGGGGGAUAACCCGGCGAAAGUCGGACUAAUACCGCAUGAAGCAGGGGCCCCGCAUGGGGAUAUUUGCUAAAGAUUCAUCGCUGAUAGGUAGGCAUGCGUUCCAUUAGG